rnacentral:rRNA from 1 species
CACAUGCGAGUCGAACGGCAGCGCGGGAGCAAUCCUGGCGGCGAGUGGCGAACGGGUGAGUAAUACAUCGGAACGUGCCCAAUCGUGGGGGAUAACGCAGCGAAAGCUGUGCUAAUACCGCAUACGAUCUACGGAUGAAAGCAGGGGAUCGCAAGACCUUGCGCGAAUGGAGCGGCCGAUGGCAGAUUAGGUAGUUGGUGAGGUAAAGGCUCACCAAGCCUUCGAUCUGUAGCUGGUCUGAGAGGACGACCAGCCACACUGGGACUGAGACACGGCCCAGACUCCUACGGGAGGCAGCAGUGGGGAAUUUUGGACAAUGGGCGAAAGCCUGAUCCAGCCAUGCCGCGUGCAGGAUGAAGGCCUUCGGGUUGUAAACUGCUUUUGUACGGAACGAAACGGUCUUUUCUAAUACAGAAGGCUAAUGACG